GGCCGGGCAGGGAGGAGGGCGGUCAGGGCCGCCCCCAAGGCCCCAGACGCCGGCCCUGGGCCGAGGGGAUCUCCAUGGUGGCCUGGCCUCAGGCUGGACCCCUCCUUCCUGCGGGCUGCGACAGGCGCGUGCCCGAGCUACGGGUCGCCGGCGAGGUCCCAAGAGGGCCGCGCGCGCCCUGGAUGGCGAAUGAUGGCCGCGCUUCACCCGACCCAGCCCGCCGGGCCUAGGGCUUGAAACUGCUUCUGCCUCCGCCUCCGCUCUGCGUCCUCCCCAGCUGGAGGAAACCUGCAGGCCCUCGCCCACUGGAGCUCAGAAGAGCCAGACGCUGUCGAUAGCUUCAGAGGUCCACGCCUGGGGAGGCCCCCAGAGAGAGGCGGAACGCUGCGGCCACAGCAACCCCUGGGCUCUGGACGGGGAGGAAGGCGGGCCUCUGCAGACAGGGCUGCGACGGGGAGGGUGCGAGCGGGGGACGGUUAAGUGGGGUGUCUCUUCCAAAGCAGACCGGCCGGCGAACGAGGCCCGAUGAAGAAAGGUUCUGCUGCGCGACGGCGGCCCAUCCCCAAUUCGGCUCGGGAUGUCCUCAUUGCCCUUGAUGCCUGGAGCUUCCAACUCGCCCCCACUAGGCCCUGGGGGUCCCUAGCCAGGGAGUGGGACAGAGUGAAGGCGCUGAACCGUUACUGCCGUUCACAGAUUUUAGGAGAACUCUUGGCUACUGUCGACUCCUCAAAAGAAGACCAGAAAAACCUGUUGAUCAAGCAAAUGGACAAAAAAAAAAUAACGUUGUCCACCAUCAAGCCAUCAGCCACUGCAGCUGCCCCCCAUGGCGCACCCCGAGGGGAAUUCAGGAUGGAGAAAAACAGGAUUCUGGCCCUAGAUAGUUAAGAUGCAGAUCAAAGCAAAAACUCCUGUGUAUCCUGGCUCCUCCCUUACCUCUUUGGAACAGUUCCUCAGAGCUAUCUGAGCUAUCUGGCCUACAGUUCUCAGUAACGUCC